AAGGAGUCUAACAAAUAUGCGAGCAUUAGAGUGGCAAACUCGAGAUGCGCAACGAACGUAAGAGUCUGCGAGCCUGCAAAGGCGCAGCAGAGACCGGCCCUGAUAUAUUUUGACGGGACCGAGUAAGAGCAGAUUUGUUGGGACCCGAAAGGCGGUGAACUAUGCCUGACUAGGGCGAAGCCAGAGGAAACUCUGGUGGAGGCUCGUAGCCGUUCUGACGUGCAAAUCGAUGGUCAAAGUUGGGUAUAGGGGCGAAAGACUAAUCGAACCGCCUAGUAGCUGGUUCCCUC
rnacentral:misc_RNA from 1 species